AUCACGUUGAAACAUUGGUUCCCGUACGAUCACUGAAGCUAAGCAAUGUCUAGACUUGUCUGUACCUAGAUAGGUGACCGCUUGGGAUUACCAGGUGCUGUAAG